UACGGAGGGGGCUAGCGUUGUUCGGAAUUACUGGGCGUAAAGCGCACGUAGGCGGCUUUGUAAGUUAGAGGUGAAAGCCCGGGGCUCAACUCCGGAACUGCCUUUAAGACUGCAUCGCUAGAAUUGUGGAGAGGUGAGUGGAAUUCCGAGUGUAGAGGUGAAAUGCGCAGAUAUCAGGAGGAACACCGGUGGCGAAGGCGGAUCUCUGGGCCUUACCUGACGCUGGAGGCGCGAAAGCGUGGGGAUCAAACAGG
rnacentral:rRNA from 1 species